rnacentral:lncRNA from 1 species
AUAAUUUGUGGUGAGAUUUUAUGGUUAAAAGAUGUUUAGAAGACUUAGGUUCUAUUUUUGUUGAUCAAACUAAAGUUUUCUAAAAAUCUCAGGGCUCAGGGACCGAUCCUUGAUCAGAGGGACCGGACCCAUCAAGCUUCUCUGCGUAGAAGUUUUUGGGAGACCGGUCUCUGAUCUUGAGGACCGGUUCCCGUAGGUGGUUUUUCUUGUUGCGCAGGGAGGGACCGGUCUCUGAAUUGAGGACCGGU